UACGGAGGAUCCAAGCGUUAUCCGGAUUUACUGGGCGUAAAGGCUCGUAGGCGGCCAACUAAGUCAGACGUGAAAUCCCUCGGCUUAACCGGGGAACUGCGUCUGAUACUGGAUGGCUUGAGUUUGGGAGAGGGAUGCGGAAUUCCAGGUGUAGCGGUGAAAUGCGUAGAUAUCUGGAGGAACACCGGUGGCGAAGGCGGCAUCCUGGACCAACACUGACGCUGAGUGAGCGAAAGCCAGGGGAGCAAAGCGGG
rnacentral:rRNA from 1 species